rnacentral:rRNA from 1 species
AGCUUGUUGGUGAGGUAAUGGCUCACCAAGGCGACGACGGGUAGCCGGCCUGAGAGGGCGACCGGCCACACUGGGACUGAGACACGGCCCAGACUCCUACGGGAGGCAGCAGUGGGGAAUAUUGCACAAUGGGCGAAAGCCUGAUGCAGCGACGCCGCGUGAGGGAUGACGGCCUUCGGGUUGUAAACCUCUUUCAGCAGGGAAGAAGCGAAAGUGACGGUACCUGCAGAAGAAGCGCCGGCUAACUACGUGCCAGCAGCCGCGGUAAUACGUAGGGCGCAAGCGUUGUCCGGAAUUAUUGGGCGUAAAGAGCUCGUAGGCGGCUUGUCACGUCGGGUGUGAAAGCCCGGGGCUUAACCCCGGGUCUGCAUUCGAUACGGGCUAGCUAGAGUGUGGUAGGGGAGAUCGGAAUUCCUGGUGUAGCGGUGAAAUGCGCAGAUAUCAGGAGGAACACCGGUGGCGAAGGCGGAUCUCUGGGCCAUUACUGACGCUGAGGAGCGAAAGCGUGGGGAGCGAACAGGAUUAGAUACCCUGGUAGUCCACGCCGUAAACGGUGGGAACUAGGUGUUGGCGACAUUCCACGUCGUCGGUGCCGCAGCUAACGCAUUAAGUUCCCCGCU